CAAGUCUGGUGCCAGCAGCCGCGGUAAUUCCAGCUCCAAUAGCGUAUAUUAAAGUUGUUGCAGUUAAAAAGCUCGUAGUUGAAUUUCGGGAUCAAUAUUUCGGUCAUGCCGUUGGUAUGCACUGUUAUCAUUGAUUUCUCACCUUCUAAAGAACCGUAAUGCCAUUAAUUUGGUGUUACGGGGAAUUAGGACUGUUACCUUGAAAAAAUUAGAGUGUUUAAAGCAGGCUCACGCUUGAAUACAUUAGCAUGGAAUAAUGAAAUAGGACAUCCGAUUCUAUUUUGUUGGUUUCUAGGAUCGAUGUAAUGAUUAAUAGGGAUAGUUGGGGGCAUUAGUAUUCAAUUGUCAGAGGUGAAAUUCUUGGAUUUAUUGAAGACUAACUACUGCGAAAGCAUUUGCCAAGGAUGUUUUCAUUAAUCAAGAACGAAAGUUAGGGGAUCGAAGACGAUCAGAUACCGUCGUAGUC
rnacentral:rRNA from 1 species